rnacentral:lncRNA from 7 species
AGGAAUCUUUGGACUCUCAGUGCCCUGACAGCUGGUAGUGACAAGGCAUGAGUGAAGCGUUUGCACUCACUGAUGAGCAGAGACUUCCAAAUGGCCCAUCACCUGUGAGCAUCUUGAUUUACAUCUGCCCAGUUUAUGGAUUUGUUUCUUGUUCAUCCUUUAAUGAGCUGCAAACGAUUCUGCAAACUGUCACCAAACAAAAUAACACAUAUGAGAGAGUAAAGAAACAAAUAAAACAGCACAUGCUAUAAAAUGGACAAAAUAAUGAAAAGCUCUCUCCUGUGCAUCACAUAUAGACUCUGCACUGAUGUUCAUUUGGAAGAAAAGUGCCACAUACGUGUGCAUGAUGGCCUGAUUGUGAAAUACUUCCCUGCCUUCCCCUUUCUGGAGAUCCCAAAGGCCACAUUUGUCAUAUAGUCACUUUGCUAUGAGUGUGUAAUUAAAUGUAAAGCACUUUGGGAUGUUCAGCUGUAUAAAGUAUUGCUGUUGGAAUGCAAGUUGUUUUUCCUGCAGACAAACACAAAAGGAAAGAAAAACAAAUAAACAGUAAC